UGCUGCUCCAAAUAUAACAAGAUCAUACAGUUGUUUUAGACUUGAUAUAUCAAACUGUAAUUGGGUAGGAUUGAUUAGAUAACAUGUUUGGAAUUGUGUUCUCAACCUAGGGACAUUAUUCCUUAUAAUUUCAGUAACAAACCCAAAUGUAUGCACAAAUUACUAGGGUAUUCAAGGAAAAGGAGCACGCUGAAGUUGAGUUUACUAUUGGACCUAUACCCGUGGAUGAUAGCAUAGGAAAAGAAAUCACUACUCAAAUUACAACAGCCUUAAAGACUAAUGGAACAUUCUACACAGAUUCUAACGGACGUGACUUCAUUAAGAGGAUUAAUCUUGGAAUAUACAUGCAAGACAGUAUCUCAGAACUGUCAGUGUUGGUUGACCGUUCAGUUGGGGGAUCCAGUUUAGUGGAUGGUCAGAUAGAGCUUAUGCUCCACAGCAAUCCUGGUCACCUAUUUGCAGCAGGUGUGACCUUGGAGAAACUCUUAGCUUCCUUCUGAGUGGGUCCAGGUUUUUAGAUAUGGCACUGAAGAAGGCAAACCUGCUGAUAGAAUUGUCAAAUAGCACACUUAUAUUCUGGAACCAAUUACAGGAAAUGCAAAGUAUAUUCUGGAUGAUGUCAUUCUCUGUUUAUCAAAGGAUGGAUACAAGGAUAUGUUAAAACUAGCUGAUAACUUUUCUGCCUUUAAUCAACGCUUAAAAUAUGCGCAUUUUCGUCCACAUGUUUCCGUGAAA